rnacentral:rRNA from 1 species
UGAGGAAUAUUGGUCAAUGGGCGCAAGCCUGAACCAGCCAUGCCGCGUGCAGGAUGACGGUCCUAUGGAUUGUAAACUGCUUUUGUACAGGAAGAAACACCUCUACGUGUAGAGGCUUGACGGUACUGUAAGAAUAAGGAUCGGCUAACUCCGUGCCAGCAGCCGCGGUAAUACGGAGGAUCCAAGCGUUAUCCGGAAUCAUUGGGUUUAAAGGGUCCGUAGGCGGUUUAGUAAGUCAGUGGUGAAAGCCCAUCGCUCAACGGUGGAACGGCCAUUGAUACUGCUAGACUUGAAUUAUUAGGAAGUAACUAGAAUAUGUAGUGUAGCGGUGAAAUGCUUAGAGAUUACAUGGAAUACCAAUUGCGAAGGCAGGUUACUACUAAUAUAUUGACGCUGAUGGACGAAAGCGUGGGGAGCGAACAGGAUUAGAUACCCGUGUAGUCC